GAUAGAGUCUUUUCCAGAUGAAUAUCUGCUGCCCUCAACUCUUACCAAAAUUUACAUAUUCGAUCUUCCAAAUCUUAAGUUUUUGGACUACAAGGGCUUUCAACACCUCAGCUGUCUUCGCGAAUUGCAUAUCUCUGGAUGUCCAGAGCUCCAAUCCAUGCCGGUAAAGAGGCUCCCCAUUCCUAUCAUUUGGAUUGAAUAUGAACUCAUUAUGAAAGAGGCCCUUUUGGCAUAAUUAAUGCAAUCUCACUCAGGCUGCUGGCACCUUACUUCUAGCUGUUGGUUGCAAAUUCUAGUUGAUGAUUGUCAUCCAAAUGAAGUUCCUCUUGUAUGAUUUGUCUUAGCCUGUAGCUUCAGGAGCUCAUUUUUCUAUCCAAGAAUCCUCUCCAUGAAAAAUUAUAUAAA